rnacentral:lncRNA from 1 species
CAGACUCCUUUUGGACCAGCAGAUCGGUAAGACUCUCCCUUACAGCAGAUCGGUAAGUACUUGUAAGAGAUUAUGUGUCUGUUAUUGGAAAAGUAAUGAUGAAAAAUGUAAUCUUAAUUUAAUUUAAACUUUUAUUAGUAGUUUGAAUGUUUGAAUGUUUUCUCUAUCAGCAUUUGUUGAGUUUUCCAUUAGUAUAUUGUACGUCUUGCUGUGUGUUCUCUGUUAGUACUAUAUAUAUAUAGUAGUAUAUAGUGUUACUCAACUCUCUUUCCUCUCAGGGAGGAUGGCCAACGUCCAGGUGCCUGUUGUGGCCAUCGGUGCGUUUGGGGACAGUCCUGUCCAGAUGACCUGUCCUACCUGUCACCAGACCGUGGUCACUAAGGUUGACUUCUCCUCUGGUGUCCUCACCUACCUCUUCUGUGGAGGACUCUUCUUCUGUGGGUAUGUACAAGAGUGUGUGUGUGGUGUGUAGUGUGUGUGUGUGUGUGUGUGUGUGUGUGUAGUGUGUAUGUAGUGUGUGUGUGUGUGUGUGUGUGUGUGUGUGUAGUGUGUAUGUAGUGUGUGUGUGUGUGCAUGUAGUGUGUGUGCAUGUAGUGUGUGUGUGUGUGUGUGUGUGUGUGUGUGUGUGUGUGUAGUGUGUGUGUAGUGUGUGUGUAGUGUGUGUGUGUAGUGUGUGUGUGUGUGUGUAUGUAGUGUGUGUGUGUAGUGUGUAUGUAGUGUGUGUGUGUAGUGUGUGUGUAGUGUGUGUGUAGUGUGUGUGUGUGUAGUGUGUAUGUAGUGUGUGUGUGCAUGUGGUGUGUGUGUAGUGUGUGUGUAGUGUGUGUGUGUGUGUGUGUGUGUGUGUGUGUGUGUGUGUAGUGUGUGUGCAUGUGGUGUGUGUGUAGUGUGUGUGUGUAGUGUGUGGGGUGAAAGCCAAUCCUACUGUUUGUCAGUGGGUUCAGGUCAGGCACCACAGGCAUCAAUCUAGCAAUUUUGCAAUCCAUUAAUAUUAGUAAUUUUCACAAAAUAAACAAACAAAUGUCAAACUUGAUGAAAAUGUAUGUAUUUGUUUUUGUUUAUCAU